rnacentral:lncRNA from 1 species
AAGUGUGAUGCCUCUGAACAUGGUGCUUCAGCUGAGGCUUUAUCAACCUUGUACAGACAUGAAGUGCUCCUUCUUGUGUCCAGCUGGCUCUUUUUUUCUGAUUAGAAAACCAUUAGAAAAGCCACGGUGUUCGACCAUGUAAGUUGAGGAAGCUCCAGAUCCUUUUCUGAAAGACACUGAAUAAUUUUAAUAAUUACUUAAUAUCAGUAUCCAGUAUCAUAAGCCAUAAGUCUCAGUCUGUUUUAGCAGUCUACUCUUUCUUGUGGCACCUGCAAGCACCCUCUCUAGCUCUGAAUUGCCCUGAAAAAUUCUAUGACUCGUUCCAGGAAAGAUCUUUGCUGUAUGGCAGCUUGCUUGAGUCAUGUUGCUGAGCCACCUUGGGAAACCUGCCCUCUGGCUGCCAGGUCUGCUGCUUUGCAAACAGCAUGCUUUGUUCUUCAGGGUCAAGAGAAUUCACAGGUUUGAGGAGGCCACUGAAAGUCAGUGACCACAGGGACAGGAACAUGCUGAGGUAGCUGAGACACUGUAGCAGCAGCGAGUAAGAAGAAUAAAGGUGAGCAGGAAUGAUUCAUCUUCAGUGAGAAGGAGUAGGGAUUCCCACCAAGAUCCCAGGGUGAAGCCAGGCCCUGUCCCUGCCCUCCAUCACAACAAAUCCCUGGCAGCCCUGUAAGCAGAAACACAUCAGCAAAGAUAGAGAAAAUGUUGUUGCUGCAGGUGAGCAGAGUCUUAUACAGCCACAGUGCCACAAAACUGUGCAUCCUCGGCUGCAGCAGUGUCCCGCACAUGGAACAGAGAGCAGCAGCAAGGAAGCAGGUUUUGUUUGUGUUUAAAGUACAGCUGGCAAGUACCUGAAGAAUGCAUUCCAGUCUCAUUUUCCUUAGUUUUCUCAACACACGUGCAAACAGAACCUGCAGAGCUGCUUCAUGAAGGCAAGCAGCUGAAUGAAGUGAAAAAAGUGGUUCACUGGAGAAGUGUCUCACUGAUUCCAAAAACAAUUUCAUUCGUAUUCAAGUACCGAUAUUAGUGUGAUAUCACUCCAAGGACAAGCAGAGCAAAUGUCUUCGUAAAAUAGCGAGAGAGAGCAUCGGUGUGCUGAGCUGCCAACAAAAUAAAUUUCACUAAAAUUACA